UGAACCGCAUGGUUCAGACAUAAAAGGUGGCUUUGGCUACCACUUACAGAUGGACCCGCGGCGCAUUAGCUAGUUGGUGAGGUAACGGCUCACCAAGGCGACGAUGCGUAGCCGACCUGAGAGGGUGAUCGGCCACACUGGGACUGAGACACGGCCCAGACUCCUACGGGAGGCAGCAGUAGGGAAUCUUCCGCAAUGGACGAAAGUCUGACGGAGCAACGCCGCGUGAGUGAUGAAGGUUUUCGGAUCGUAAAGCUCUGUUGUUAGGGAAGAACAAGUGCCGUUCAAAUAGGGCGGCACCUUGACGGUACCUAACCAGAAAGCCACGGCUAACUACGUGCCAGCAGCCGCGGUAAUACGUAGGUGGCAAGCGUUGUCCGGAAUUAUUGGGCGUAAAGGGCUCGCAGGCGGUUUCUUAAGUCUGAUGUGAAAGCCCCCGGCUCAACCGGGGAGGGUCAUUGGAAACUGGGGAACUUGAGUGCAGAAGAGGAGAGUGGAAUUCCACGUGUAGCGGUGAAAUGCGUAGAGAUGUGGAGGAACACCAGUGGCGAAGGCGACUCUCUGGUCUGUAACUGACGCUGAGGAGCGAAAGCGUGGGGAGCGAACAGGAUUAGAUACCCUGGUAGUCCACGCCGUAAACGAUGAGUGCUAAGUGUUAGGGGGUUUCCGCCCCUUAGUGCUGCAGCUAACGCAUUAAGCA
rnacentral:rRNA from 1 species